GGGGGCUCGAGCCGGGAUUGGACAAGACAGGAAACGAAACGGUGAAGAGGGUUCGACGCUGGAGGAGCUGAGGUCUAAGCUCGCACGAAUGAACCUUCCUAUAUUUGGUGCGAGGUCAGUGUUGAUCGCGAGGCUGAAUCGAGCGUGUAGGGCUGGACAAUCGUAUCCUAAGGGAUCGACGGGCGGUGAAGAGUCAACCGACCAGCGAGACUUAGGAAAUGCGCAGAAAGCGGAGCGCGAUCGAGGUGAAGACGAAAACCUCGAUAAAAUGAAGACGAAGGAGUUGAAAGAGCGCCUCGCCAGUUUGGGGUUGAAAACGACGGGAAGAAAAGCCGAAUUACGCGCACGGCUACAAGCGGCCAUGGAUGGAAACGAUACAUCGUCGGAAGAAGAAAGCGACGACGAAAGUGAGGACGAGGAAGAGAGAAAAAACAUAAAGGAAUACAAGAGAGGUACGCGAAGGGCGUACCAGGACUGUGACGAACAUCAUCGAAGGGCAUGUGUUGGUUCGACUUUGAGUUUCAAGGACGUUGAAGAUGCAUUAGAGUCGUUUAGUGGCGACAAAGGCGAAAAUGUCGAGCGGUGAUUCGAGUCGUUCGAUGAAGUCGCAGAUACGUGCAUGUGGUCGGAUGGACAAAAGACGAUCUACGCGAGGAAGCUGCUGAAGGGAUCAGCGAAAAUAUUCGCGAGCUUCGAGUGCCAUGCCAGGACUUGGCAUCAGCUGAAGAGAGGGCUAGUCAAGGAAUUCUUCAAAAAGGUUAAUAGUCGGCAAGUACAUCAGAGACUUAGAGAAACGAAAAAGAAAAGCGAUGAAGCAUGUUUGGCUUACAUGUGCCGCAUGCUCGAAAUAGCUAGCCAUGUGGAUAUAGAAGAGGAGGCAGAAGUGGAAUACAUAGUAGACGGGAUAGUAGACGACGAUAACAAUAAGUCUAUACUGUACGGCGCUAUGUCAAUCAAAGAGCUGAGGAAGAGAUUGAUUACGUACGAAGAGCAGAAGAGUCGUAGAGCAAAGUCGAUCGCGGAGCCGGCCAAAACUGAGAAGAACAGGAAGCCGAGUCGAUCUGGGGAUGUGAGGAAGACGCGAUGCUCUACAAUUGCGGUGACGAAGAACACGUGUGUGUAGAGUGUCCGAAUAGGUCGAAGGGACCUAAGUGUUUUAAGUGUAGAGGGUACGGACACAUCGCAUCGAUGUGCGACAACCUGAGUGAGUCCCUUAAAGAGUUACCUGAAAACUAUUCAAAGCAUUCAUUCUACUUAUCUUUGCAUUUGCAUCGGUUUGGUAAUGGCAACUUUCAGCGUCACGUUAGUAAAGAGGUUGCAGCACAAUCGGAAAUUUCUGCGGAGUCUAUCAAGGACGUUGUAUUUCUCUCAUCUCAAUUGACACACAUAUUUCUAUUAACGGUACAAGGACAAUUCGUACAGAAUGCGAACGAUGAAGUUACCGGAUCGAUAUAUGACGCGUUAUGGUAUAAUUCUAAUAAUAAAACGAAACUGUUGUUUGUAUUAGCACUAAGAAAUUACUUAAAUCCUUCCACUCUAUCAGCUGCUGGAUUAAUUAUCUUGAAUUUGAAGAGCUUCUUAGAGUAUGUUUUUCAGAUUAUAAAAACAUCUGUUUCAUACUUUACCGUAUUAAAAUCUACGUAAAUCGUAAAAUACCCCCGACAGAGGCAAUGGAAGACAAUACUCCGGAACAAAGAUUAGUGGAUAAAAUAUGAAAAUAAUUACAGUGGUCCUUAUUUCUAAACUACUAACUAUUUUUUGGGUUUACACCCACUUGGUGAUGCUUGUUGAGAUUUCGAUGUGUUUAUAUGGCUGAACUGCAUUCAAAGAGAGAUUGAAUAUAGAAAGAUGGAAAUAAGAAACUAUGAUGUAGUACACCUGCUGGAACAUGAUGACACUCAAAUUAUUUAAUCAAAUAUUUUUAUAAUGACACAUUUAGCGUGUGCUGUUUUACAGUGUAUGGAAAGUAGAAUUGUCCCUCGAAUCAAGUCAUAAAGAAAACGCAAGUCGUUUUGGGAUAAAAUAUGCAUUCACCUAAAACAAUAUACAAUAUCAUUUCUUGUACAAAAUUAUCAGUGCCGUAUAAAAAUUGGAAACGGUUGUAAUAGCAUAACGGAAUUUUAAAAUAUUUUACAUAACGUACAAUGUAUGCAAAAGUAUUUACUUCAUAUAUUAGUUUACAUUAUAACAUUACGUCUGAUUUGACCUAUUUAAACAAUUCACGUCAAUUAUGGAUUUUUCAACAAGACCAAGUAAUGUGAUAUUAGUAAUAGAAAAAGAUGCAUAGCUGUUUAUCAUAAGAUGAAUUUGAAUUAUUAACAUAUAUCGACGAACGCUUAGUAUUACCGUCACAAAAAAUUAAUUUACGACCAGAACUGGCGAAGCGCGUUAGCUUAAUCGUGCACGAAACACACGACACUUUCUUACUCAGAGACAAAAUAUAUUUUGAUUAUUCACAGUAUGAAGAGAAUAAUAACCAGAUAAAAGUCCGCACAGAUCUGUUCGAUCUUCAACAAUCAUUUCUCUUUCUACUUCGCUUAUCCGUUGCGAAUACUGUCUGUUUCACCCAACAGUUCUAUAUCAAGCUUUCUAAUAUCAAAUUUAUUCAAGCAAUUUGUCAAUCAAUCGAUUCUUUCGAGAAGAUAUUUGAUGUUUUCUACGCAGGGAAGUGGACACAACGUAAAGAUCACACGAUAACGACGAGCUAAUAUUUCGAUCGAGUUAUUUGCAUAACUUUAUCAAAGGUACUUUAAGGGUAUAGAAUUAACAAGGGUGAAUAAAAUAUUAGAUCACCACUUUGGUUAGAACGAUCGUAAUGAUAGCAGGUACGUAUUACUUAGCUGCACUCUUCGUGUAAAUAUUACAUGGUCGAAAUAAAGUGGCAGUAUAAUGGCCAAUACCAGGCACUCAACAAAUUUCACUGUCACUCAUCAAUUGUCAGUUGCACUCCUAACAUUAGUUUUCUCCUCACCAUGGACAAAGCCACAGUAGUAAACGAGUACAUGAAAGUAGUGAAGAUAUGUACUAUGGUGGGUGGAAUUUGGCCUGAUCAGAGUAAAUUUUCGAAACUCGUUAUGCGAUCGAUUAUAUACAUCAUCAUUGUGCUAUCGUUUGUUACGCAGGUACAAGAACAUUUAUCGGCAACCUGGUAAUCAUAUUACAAUCGCGUAAGUGGUAUUCCCACGUGAAAAAAUCCGCAUAUAAAAUAAAAUUGUUUCAUUUCACGUUUCGUCGCUGAGAAAGCGAAGUUUGAAAAGUUGUGAAGGAUACUUCAACUUGGCUAAUUACAUACUAGAUAUAGGUUAAUAAUCAACAGGAGAUUGUCAUACAUGUGAAAAUAAGUUAAAAAUAUGAAAGAACACUUUUAUCGUUUAAGGUAUAAUUUACAAGAAAAUGAAGUUUAAAAAUGUUUAAUUACGAACUGGUCUGAGACACGUACAUCAUACAUAUUCGAAUUCAUUGUGUUAGGAAAUGAAACAAUUUAUGAAAAGAUUUUAUUGUAUAUUUUUUAUUUAUUUUCAAAUACGAGUUUAACCUCAUUCAAUUAUUUGCUCUUGUUCAGUCAAGAUAAAGUAUACUUGUCAAGUCUAUAACAUCGAUUUUCCCAAAAACGGAGGUUCAGGGAAAGUAAUGUUAUAUCAGAUUUUUAUUCUCAUUUUUCACAUCGAAUCGCCGUCUGGCCGAUUGUACUAUGUUUACCGCCACAGCCUAUAUAUUUGAAAUCACACAUGAACAUUGUGAUCUUUGUGCAAUAUUUCAAAAAACUCCAAAUCUGUUUAAUGCUUGAUGUAAUUAUGGCAUUAUGUACUAAUGUGAGAAUUCCUUUUUUAUUAAAUUACUCUAUCGUUGA